AUGCCUACGGGAGGCAGCAGUGAGGAAUAUUGGUCAAUGGGCGAGAGCCUGAACCAGCCAAGUCGCGUGAGGGAAGACGGUCCUAUGGAUUGUAAACCUCUUUUGUCGGGGAGCAAAAAGGCCUCGUGAGGCCACAAGCGAGAGUACCCGAAGAAAAAGCAUCGGCUAACUCCGUGCCAGCAGCCGCGGUAAUACGUAGGUGGCAAGCGUUAUCCGGAUUUACUGGGGGUAAAGGGCGUGUAGGCGGGAAAGCAAGUCAGAUGUGAAAACCAUGGGCU
rnacentral:rRNA from 1 species